CUCGAUCCCAGGCCGAGUUUUCGCUUUUAUAACGGUUAGGCGAACAACUGGGCCUGGUACUAGUUGUCUGCGCAUGCGUCAGUCGUUCGUCAGAUUCUGACGAAUGGAUAUUCUCGUUCACUUUCGUGACAUUUAUAUUUGUGUACUAUCGUGUACUAGAAGUCAGUUCCCGUUUUAUCAUUAUUUGGAAUGGCUCUUAGCUGAAGCUUCUCUCUUCUCUGAAGCUUAUUCUGAAGACUGAACAACAAGGGAAGAGGUAUAAAGCUUUGUCAAGCUUGUUAAGGUCAGAUAUUUUGUGUGGGCCCUAUGGCCGGCUAUGCUAUCAAGUCUUGUUCAUGUUUGGCAAGAAUGUAGGUAGACUAUAGUUUCAUCAUUAAUAUGGUGGAUCAAGUGAAGAGUGUGAGCUAGAGAACUUGGUGCUGCCAUCAUCAGCUCGUCGACAAUGACACUAUAACCGAGAAAUUUAAUAUGUAUAGAUCUACACGUAUUUAAAAUGUCUACUUCUCUGUACAGGAGCAAUGGCUAAUAUCCAGCUAUCCCAACAGUGCUCCUCUUGGCUAUACUAACGGACGAGACUGGACAGUUUGAGACACAGGACUGGAGUAUGACCUGCUCAUUCGAGCGUUGCUGGGUAGCUCAGAGACAUCAAGAGAAUCUACGUUUUCUCAAGCAAUGAGUUACGAGUUGGGGCCUAGAAUCAGAGAAGUCCAGCAGCCUGCUAAAUCUUUUUGAAACGUAAUUUGAAGGCAUUCAAUCAUCCUGAAGUUGCCCUGGGUCACUGUAAUUGUGCUGCAGCACAACUGGCAACUCCCCAGGCCUUUGUGAAGCAGCUCCCUAUGUGCAUCUUUUGUGUACUCACUCUGUGCAUUUUCUGUGUACAAAUUUCUAUUAUUGAUUUAUUAAAUA